UGGGUAAUCUACCCUCGGUUUCGGGAUAACCCGGGGAAACCCGGAUUAAUACCGAAUGGCCUCUCGAGCUCUUGGGCUCGUGAGAAAAGGUAGCUUCGGCCUCUGACCGAGGAUGAGCCCGCGGCCGAUUAGCUAGUUGGUGGGGUAAUGGCCCACCAAGGCGACGAUCGGUAGCUGGUCUGAGAGGACGAUCAGCCACACUGGGACUGAGACACGGCCCAGACUCCUACGGGAGGCAG
rnacentral:rRNA from 1 species